UACGUAGGGUGCAAGCGUUAAUCGGAAUUACUGGGCGUAAAGCGUGCGCAGGCGGUUGUGCAAGACAGAUGUGAAAUCCCCGGGCUUAACCUGGGAACUGCAUUUGUGACUGCACGGCUAGAGUGUGUCAGAGGGGGGGUAGAAUUCCACGUGUAGCAGUGAAAUGCGUAGAUAUGAUGGAGGAAUACCGAUGGCGAAGGCAGCCCCCUGGGAUAACACUGACGCUCAUGCACGAAAGCGUGGGGAGCAAACAGG
rnacentral:rRNA from 1 species